GAGACAAAUAAAAAAUAUAAUAAACAAUGGAGAACAUAGGAGAGACUCGAUCGGUGUCGCGCAUCUGUUGAAUUCACAAAGUGAACAUGAUGAUGCAGAAGAAUCAGAAGAUGAAGAGCACCGGUGAUAAAGACAGGCUCAGUGACUUACCUGAUGCAGUUCUGCUACAUAUAAUGUCAUUUAUGAUGAUAAAAGUUUCUAUUCAAACUUGCAUUUUGUCAAAACGGUGGAAGGAUCUCUGAAAUCCCCCCCUAAUCUUACAUUGCAUACCUCAGACUUUAGCAAGCCUUCUCUUUUCUCUGAAUUUGUGUCUGGGAUUGUGUCAAGCCGUGAUGGCAACAAUCCCCUCCAUAAUCUUGAUUUUGAUCGCCAUGGUUAUUUUAAACCUCAGAUUCUGACAAAUCUCAUGAGAUAUGCUGUGUUACAUGAUAUCCAGCACUUGAAAAUCUAUGUCCCUUGUAAUAUAAGUUUGCCUUGGUGUGUCUUUUCUUGUCAAACUUUAAAGUCUCUUCAUAUUACAGAUGCAAGUUAUGAUGUAACAAGAAGAACCAGAAUCCCUAAGUCUCUCAAGCUUCCAUCAUUAGUAAGUUUGCAACUUGCCAAUGUUCCGAUUUCUGCUGAUGACAAUGGUUAUGCUGAACCCUUCUCCACCUGUACAAAAUUAAACACUUUAUUCAUUGAUAAAUUUUCCUUAGUUCCUCCUAACUCUCACAUAUUGAGAAUGCCAGGAAUCCUCAAUAUAACCAAUGUUAAACUUGCCAAUUUGACCGUCAAUGAUACUCAUAGUUUGCCUUGCAAAUAUGUGAUAUCUACACCAAAUCUAAGUUCUUUCACUUUAAACGGUUCUCCUUUUCAAACAUUGGACGAAUAGGAAAAGGUGAAUGUUGAGCUUCAAUCUUCCUCCCUAAUAUAAAAUGGAUACACUGAUCAUGUCCAUAUCUCUUCAGCUGUUGAAUGUGACAGGGGAGUGUUUUUUAUUGCUCAAUGGAGAACUCCCCCAAACUAGUUGAUUGGAAAUUGAGUGGAGC